UGAAAAGAGAGAAAAGAAAAGAGACAAGAUGAAAAAAAAAGAAGAGAAAAAAAAAUACAGAAAAAUGAGAAAAAUAAAAAAUUUUGUGUAAAUGAUGGAGUCAAGAAGAGGAUUGAAUUAGAGGGUUUGGGUGUGAUUUGACUGUGUUUUCACUUGUUCCCCAUUGCUCCUCUAUUUCUUUUGGUUUGUAGCUUCUCAUCCAUAUUUAUCCUCCCUUUUCCUUGG
rnacentral:lncRNA from 1 species